GAUGAACGCUGGCGGCGUGCUUAACACAUGCAAGUCGAACGAUGAAGCCCAGCUUGCUGGGUGGAUUAGUGGCGAACGGGUGAGUAACACGUGAGUAACCUGCCCUUAACUCUGGGAUAAGCCUGGGAAACUGGGUCUAAUACCGGAUAGGAGCGUCCACCGCAUGGUGGGUGUUGGAAAGAUUUAUCGGUUUUGGAUGGACUCGCGGCCUAUCAGCUUGUUGGUGAGGUAAUGGCUCACCAAGGCGACGACGGGUAGCCGGCCUGAGAGGGUGACCGGCCACACUGGGACUGAGACAGGGACCAGACUCGUACGGGAGGCAGCAGUGGGGAAUAUUGCACAAUGGGCGCAAGCCUGAUGCAGCGACGCCGCGUGAGGGAUGACGGGCUUCGGGUUGUAAACCUCUUUCAGUAGGGAAGAAGCGAAAGUGACGGUACCUGCAGAAGAAGCACCGGCUAACUACGUG
rnacentral:rRNA from 1 species